UGACCUCGGAUCAGGUAGGGAUACCCGCUGAACUUAAGCAUAUCAAUAAGCGGAGGAAG
rnacentral:rRNA from 1 species